UCCAGACCCGGCCGCUGCCGGUCGGCCCGCUGGUUGGUCGGUUAGUUGGUCGGUGGGUCGGUGGCCUAGAGCUCGCUUCUCGGCUCUCAUGUUCGGAGGUGGGAGGGACACGGGAAAGGCCCGCACACCUGAGCUGCCCGGAGAGGAUCCCCGCACCCAGGAGAAGGAGGAGACUAAACAGGGGGAAGGACUCAUGGCUUCUGAUGCGAGUCACGUGCUGGAAGCUGCCCUGGAGCAGAUGGACGGGAUCAUUGCAGGCACUAACACAGGGGUAGAUAUUAGCGAUGACACCUGUGAGCCUGGACUGGCCUCCGCGGCUUCCUACGUGAACCCCUUCCCGGUGCUGCGUCUCGUCGAGGACUUGAGGCUGGCCCUGGAGAUGCUGGAGCAUUCUCAGGAGAGAGCAGCCCUCCUGAGCCAGAUCCCAGGCCCCACAGCUGCCUACAUAAAGGGGUGGUUCGAGGAGAGCUUGUCCCAGGUAAAUCACCACAGUGCUGCUAGUAAUGAAACGUACCAGGAACGCUUAGCACGUCUAGAAGGAGAUAAGGAGUCCCUCAUAUUACAGGUGAGUGUCCUCACAGACCAAGUGGAAGCCCAAGGAGAGAAGAUUCGGGACCUGGAAGUGUGUCUGGAAGGGCACCAGGUGAAACUCAAUGCUGCUGAAGAGAUGCUUCAACAGGAGCUGCUAAGUCGUACAUCUCUUGAGACUCAGAAGCUCGAUCUGAUGACUGAAGUGUCUGAGCUGAAGCUCAAGCUGGUGGGCAUGGAGAAGGAGCAGAGAGAGCAGGAAGAGAAGCAGAAAAAAGCAGAGUCGGUUCUGAAUGUGAUCAGUGAGCUGCAGGAGCAGAUGUGUAGGCUGCAGCUGGACAUCCACAGGCAGAUUCAAGAGCGCCUCUCACUCAGUAGGGACCACCCUGAGGAGGUGGCAGCCGGCGACGGUGCGGCCCGGCCCCAGCCCUGCGGCCAGGAGUGUGCCCGUUGGGAGGGGUCACCUGAGUUACUGCAGGAGCUCCGGCACCUCAAAAUCAAGGUGGAAGAGUUGGAAAAUGAACGGAACCAGUAUGAAUGGAAACUGAAGGCCACCAAGGCUGAGGUAGCCCAGCUGCAAGAGCAGGUAGCCCUGAAGGAUGCAGAAAUUGAGCGUCUGCACAGCCAGCUCUCCCGGACCGCAGCUCUGCACAAUGACCAUGCAGAGAAAGACCAAGAAAUCCAACGUCUGAAAAUGGGGAUGGAAACUUUGCUUGUUGCCAAUGAAGAUAAGGACCGUCGGAUAGAGGAGCUUACUGGGCUGUUAAACCAGUACCGAAGGGUGAAUGAGAUCGUGAUGGCGACUCAAGGGCCUUCAGAAAGAACUCUCUCAAUCAAUGAGGAAGAACUGGAGGGAGGUUUCAGAAACUGGAACACUGCAAAUAAAGGCCCUGAAGAACUUUUUAAACCAGAGGUAUCUCCAAGAGGUAGCUCUCCCACGGUGGGACCACCCCCGCUACCGCAGAAAUCACUGGAAAGCAGGGCUCAGAAAAAACUCUCCUGUAGUCUCGAAGACUUGAGAAGUGAAUCCGUGGAUAAGUGUGUCGGUGGGAACCAGCUCUCCCCAGUGGUAGAACCCAAGGACGGCCCUUUCCUGGUGGAGCACAAGUACCCCACGUUACCUGGGAAGCUUUCAGGAGCCAUGCCCAACGGAGAGGCUGCCAGAUCUUCUCCCACUGCCUCCCCGCAUGACCCUGCAGGGAGCGGCCUGCUGAGGCUGAAUCGUGGCCGGAGUGUCAGUGCCCCCGUGCUAGGAGACACAGAAAGUGGUUGGGACGACACUGCUGUGGUCAAUGACCUCUCAUCCAUGUCAUCGGGCACCGAGUCCAGCCCCCAGUCUCCCGUGACACCAGAUGGUAAACGGAGCCCCAAAGGCAUCAAGAAAUUCUGGGGAAAAAUCCGAAGGACUCAGUCAGGAAAUUUCAACACCGAUGCCCCGGGGGUGGCCGAGUUUCGACGAGGUGGACUCCGGGCAACUGCAGGGCCAAGACUCUCUAGGACCAGAGACCCCAAGGGUCAGAAAAGUGAUGCCAACGCCCCCUUCGCCCAGUGGAGCACAGAGCGUGUGUGUGCAUGGCUGGAGGACUUUGGCCUGGCUCAGUACGUGAUCUUUGCCAGGCAGUGGGUGACUUCUGGCCACACUUUACUGACAGCUACCCCUCAGGACAUGGAAAAGGAGCUGGGAAUUAAGCACCCUCUUCAUAGGAAAAAGCUGGUUUUAGCAGUGAAAGCCAUCAACACCAAGCAGGAGGAGAAGUCUGCACUACUAGACCACAUUUGGGUGACACGUUGGCUUGAUGAUAUUGGCUUACCCCAGUACAAAGACCAGUUUCAUGAAUCCAGAGUCGACGGGCGAAUGCUGCAGUACCUAACUGUGAAUGAUCUACUUUUCCUAAAAGUCACCAGCCAACUACAUCAUCUCAGCAUCAAAUGUGCCAUUCACGUGCUGCAUGUCAACAAGUUCAACCCUCACUGCCUGCACCGGCGGCCAGCUAAUGAGAGUAACCUUUCUCCUUCAGAAGUUGUGCAGUGGUCCAACCACAGGGUGAUGGAAUGGUUGCGGUCCGUGGACCUGGCGGAAUAUGCGCCCAACCUUCGUGGGAGUGGCGUCCAUGGAGGUCUCAUUAUCCUGGAGCCACGCUUCACUGGGGACACCCUGGCCAUGCUUCUCAAUAUCCCACCACAAAAGACACUCCUCAGACGCCAUCUGACCACCAAAUUCAAUGCCUUGAUUGGCCCUGAGGCUGAGCAGGAGAAGCGAGAGAAAAUGACUUCACCUGCUUACACGCCACUGACCACCACAGCCAAAGUCCGGCCAAGGAAACUGGGAUUUUCACAUUUUGGAAACAUAAGAAAAAAGAAGUUCGAUGAAUCGACAGACUACAUUUGCCCAAUGGAGCCCAGCAACAGUGUCGGUGACAGUCACAGGGUCUGUAUUGGCUACCAGGGCCUCAGCCCCCUCGAUGCCCCUGAACUGGAUGGGCUGGACCAGAUGGCACCUUCGGAAGGCACCCUGACGCAGAUAGGGCUCCUCUCCCAAGACAUUCACCGCCUCACGACUAUGCUCAGCCAGGACCAGCUGCUGACCGACUCCCGCCUGGCCGCUCCCAACUCUGAGGACUGGUGAUGACUGUCUUAUCGCUGGCAGCCCGGAGAGGCACGUGUGAGGGCCUGAGUCUGCUUCGAUGGGGAGCUGGCCCAUGGCCACCCGCAGAGCCCAGGCUGGGCUACAGGACAUCUCUAACAUGGGUGCUGAUGGGACAAAGCGGGGCUGUGGAACAGAUGUCCAGGAGGUUCUCAGGGCUGCGGGGCCUCCCAGCAUCUGAGCAGAGGCGUCUUCGAAGCCUUUCCCUUCUCAGCCUCAGAGGCAACUGUCUGAUCAAACAGCACCUCGCUCUCCCCGCCACCCCGAGGAAGGCCCUCAGGCACCCAAAUCAACAUUUCCACCGCAACACAUCUCAGGUAUGCCCUACCUCAGGGAGAGGUACCGGCCACACAACUCCCUCCCAACCAGCCUUCCCCCUUAGCUAUGGCCCUUCGUCCUCCCUGCGGCGGCUCUAGCUCUGGCCUCAUCUCUCGUCUAAUUUCCAUGGUGGGUCUCCUACUUGGUCCCUCACCCUUCCUUUCCAGUCAGUCCCCUCCAGGUGUUCGCCACCCCAUCCCCAGAGGGACCUUCCCAAAGCACUGUUUCAUCCUGUUACCUGCUAAGAACUCAGUUCCACAACUACCACAGAUUAGCGUUCAAAAGCCUGAGCACCCAAGACCCUUUUGAAUCUUCAGCAUUCCACGCUCUAGCCUGUGCUCCUGCCUUUCCCUCACCGUGGAAUGUAUUUUUCUCCUAGUCCCUGUCACAAAGCUGAAUCCUGCCUGCUGAGGUCCACAACAGCCCCAGCCUCUUUCAGGAAGCCUUCACUGGUGUUUGUUAGGGUUGGAGGUCUCUGUCCCACGGUGCUGACCUUGAGCCCGAGCACUUCCUGGCUCACCUUGAAGUAAUGUGUCAUCUUUCUCCCCUUCCACACCUAUCCUCAACACAAACUCACUGAGCACCUGCUAUGGAUGGGUUCCCGUACAGACAGGAGUUAAGACCCAAUCCUAGCCCUCUGAUGGCCCAGGAGAUCCAUGAUGCUAAGUUCUCCAUCUGCUCAUUCCCUCGUAUGUGCAGGUUGAGUACCUUCCCUUCUGGGCUAAGGAGCACUGGGGCUACGGGCGUGAAUGUCAAGGUCCUUGCCUGAGGGUGUGGAUGGUCCAGUGUGGGAGAACAGAUCUGUUUCAGACAAGAGUGUACUGAACGUUACAGAUGCUCCAAUAGAAGUGCCUACAGCCCCAAAGAGCAAAUUGUCAUUUUUAAUGGAGGGCUGGGGACAGGGACUGAAAAGCCUCCAAGGAGAGGUGCUACUUGAAUUUUGAAAGAUGAAUCAGGUUCCUCAAGUAUGCCAGAGGGGAAAGCCACUCCAGGCAGACGGACCUGAAACAACCCAGCACAUCCAAGGAAGUACCCGAAGUCAGUAUGAUGAGAGCAGAAUUUCUUGACCUCUGCACUGCUGUCAUUUGGCGUUGG